rnacentral:misc_RNA from 1 species
GAUGAAGAACGUAGCGAAAUGCGAUACGUAAUGUGAAUUGCAGAAUUCAGUGAAUCAUCGAAUCUUUGAACGCACAUUGCGCCCCUUGGUAUUCCGAGGGGCAUGCCUGUUCGAGCGUCAUUAUAACCCCUCAAGCUCAGCUUGGUGUUGGGGCCUGCCGCACGGGCAGCCCUUAAAAUCAGUGGCGGUGCUAUCUGGCUCUAAGCGUAGUAAUUCUUCUCGCUAUAGAGUCCCGGUGGAUGCUUGCCAUUAACCCCCAAUUUUCUAUGGUUGACCUCGGAUCAGGUAGGGAUACCCGCUGAACUUAAGCAUAUCAAUAAGCGGAGGA